ACGGAGGGUGCGAGCGUUGUCCGGAAGCAUUGGGCGUAAAGGGCGCGUAGGUGGCCCAGUCAGCGUGCGGUGAAAGCUCGGGGCUCAACCCCGAGUCGGCCGUGCGAACUGCUGGGCUCGAGCACUGUAGAGGCAGGCGGAAUUCCGGGUGUAGCGGUGGAAUGCGUAGAGAUCCGGAAGAACACCGGUGGCGAAGGCGCUCUGCUGGACCAUAACUGACACUCAGGGACGAAAGCUAGGGGAGCGAAUGGGA
rnacentral:rRNA from 1 species